rnacentral:lncRNA from 1 species
CAAGAUGAAAAGAGUUAGACUGCUUUUCACACGGUCAUGGGUGUUGUUCGAAUUGGGCUGUUACAAGUAUUUCCCUGUAAAAUGAAAAUGAUGUGUUGCAUUUGUUUUCUCUUUUGUCCCAGAUUUGAUCAGGCGUGCUGGUGUUCUUUGCAAAUGUGUCGUGAGUCACAAGGAACCCUGGGCUGACAGAGCACGGAAAAGAGUUCUUUAGAAAUUACCGAAUCUGUUUUGGAAAAGGAAGUGUCUCUGAAUCUUUGCCCCAGAAAGAAAAAACACUUCUGCAAAGCUGCAUCACUGCAGAACGUAACAUGGAACAGAUCAGCGUACAGAGGCAGCAUACCUGUAAAAGUGAUAUCUUGGUUGCAAUGCUCUUUGUCACUCAAGGUCUUUUCAUUGUCUAAAGUCUGCCAAGAUGGUGGGGCUGAGAGAAGAACUGAAGAUGUAUUUGAUCAGAAAAAUUCUGAACAUUUCAGAGCUUACAAAGCAAAUGCAAUGAUUUUCUUGGCUCCAUCCUCCAAACUGUUUCCCAUGGGAAAACUUCAGCACCCUCAACUAACUGCAGGAGCAGUAAGUGUAUGUACAUGCACAAAACCUUUACCUGUGAGCAACUUAGCAGAAUGCACUCUUCACCUGAAUGCAGGGCUCAGUACAGCUUUGCAAAGCAGAGCAGUGCAGAACAGGGGGAGAGGACAUGAAACAUUUUUAUUUGUGCACAUCUAACUGAGACUUUUAUUUAUUUUUGUAUGUAUGCCAGGAACAGGAGAAGGAAGCCUGUUCUUACAUGCUAUGUACAGUUUUCUUCUGCAAUAUUACUUCUAUAUGCAGCUGCUAUACAAGAAAAUUUGCCAAAGAACAGCGUUAAAGCUUUUCCAAAUCUUCUUUUCAAAUGUAUGUAAAAUCUACAUUGCUAUACACAUCGGUUUAUAAUACCACUGUGUACACUGGUGACUGAAUAAAAUACUGUUUUCUUGGUGGUGAUAGUGUAUA